rnacentral:tRNA from 1 species
GCCUGGGUAGCUUAUCGGUAAAGCGCGUCCUUGGUAAGGACGAGACCCCGGGUUCGAAUCCCGGCCUAGGCUCCA